rnacentral:rRNA from 1 species
GACGAACGCUGGCGGCGUGCUUAACACAUGCAAGUCGAACGGAAAGGCCCUGCUUUUGUGGGGUGCUCGAGUGGCGAACGGGUGAGUAACACGUGAGUAGCCUGCCCUUGACUUUGGGAUAACUUCAGGAAACUGGGGCUAAUACCGGAUAGGAGCUCCUGCUGCAUGGUGGGGGUUGGAAAGUUUCGGCGGUUGGGGAUGGACUCGCAGCUUAUCAGCUUGUUGGUGGGGUAGUGGCUUACCAAGGCUUUGACGGGUAGCCGGCCUGAGAGGGUGACCGGCCACAUUGGGACUGAGAUACGGCCCAGACUCCUACGGGAGGCAGCAGUGGGGAAUAUUGCACAAUGGGCGGAAGCCUGAUGCAGCAACGCCGCGUGCGGGAUGACGGCCUUCGGGUUGUAAACCGCUUUCGCCUGUGACGAAGCGUGAGUGACGGUAAUGGGUAAAGAAGCACCGGCUAACUACGUG